CUACGGGAUGCAGCAGUGAGGAAUCUUCCGCAAUGGGCGAAAGCCUGACGGAGCGACACCGCGUGAAGGAUGACGGCCUAACGGUUGUAAACUUCUUUUCUGAAGGAGCAAGAUGAGAGUACUUCAGGAAUAAGGGGCGGCUAAUUACGUGCCAGCAGCCGCGGUAAUACGUAAGCCCCAAGCGUUACUCGGAAUUACUGGGUGUAAAGGGUUCGUAGGCGGAAAGUUAAGUCGGAUAUGAAAGACCGGGGCUCAACCUCGAGUUUGUAUUCGAUACUGACGAUCUAGAGUUAGGAAGAGGUAAGCGGAAUUCUAAGUGUAGGGGUGUAAUCCGUAGAUACUUAGAAGAACACCAAAAGCGAAGGCAGCUUACUGGUACUAUACUGACGCUGAGGAACGAAAGCGUGGGGAGCGAAAAGGAUUAGAUACCCCUGUAGUC
rnacentral:rRNA from 1 species